AAAUGGAGAGUGUUUGCUGUCUAACUUUUAUUCCAGUAGAAAUAGUCUACUUGUCGUAUACGUGAAUCCUACAAUAUAGAAAACAUCAACGCAACAGCAAUGAAAUUAGUUUUAGCAGCGGUUCUCUUCGUUGCCUGCAUCGGAAUGCCUAGUGCAAUGGCAGGCGAUGCGACGUGGUAUAAUUUGGGUUUAACGGCGUGUGGUCAGGUGUAUAGUGACAAUGAUUUCGUUGCUGCAAUAGCAUUUAGUUAUUGGACCACUCCCAAUCCGAACAA